GCUGGGCGUGGUAGCUCACGCCUGUAAUCCCAGCACUUUGGGAGGCCGAGACGGGGGGAUCACCUGAGGUCAGGAGGUCGAGACCAGCCUGGCCAACAUGGCGAAACCCCGUCUCUA
ensembl:misc_RNA Metazoa_SRP Metazoan signal recognition particle RNA